GCAGUGGUUGGCUAUCACGGUGCAAGAUCUUCUACUAUACAUUAUUUAGUCGGGUGUAUGGGUUUGCAGGUUCUUGUGCGCACCUUGCAAUGUUGAACUCUUCGUGGACUCAAUCUCACAUUGAAAAGCUUUGGAAGAUUCCAAACCGUAUUAAGCGAGUAUAUCCUCCUUGUGGUACAUCGGGGCUUCAGGUGCUUCCUUUGGAAAGACCUGCAGAAACUCCGACAUUUAUAUACGUGGCUCAGUUUCGUCCUGAGAAGGUGGGCAUACUUACAUAAACCUAGUGAGCACAAGACACACCCACUUUAACUCGAGGCCUUUUCAAUUGCCAUUAAGAGGUUAGAUACAGACAUGCCGAGACCUGUGCUCCAGUUUGUUGGUA